rnacentral:lncRNA from 1 species
AGAUUCUAUAAUUUCAACAUAAUCUCUCUCUGCAACCAACAACCAUUAUCAUCAUGGAGUCUAUAUUGUUAUAUAUCAAAAAUCCUAAAUUUAGCUGAUGGUUUCCUUAAACAUCAGUGUACCAUACAUUUAUAAGUUAAAAUGACUAUUAAGUGAAAGAAAAUAAUUUUAAACUCAAAUGUUCUUAGUAUAGGGAACUUCUUCCAUCUGUUUUCCUUUUACCCAUUCGAUGGCUGAAAACAAAAACUCAACAUAUAGAAUAAAGUCACAAACAACAAACAUUAUGCCAAAAUUACUAACUUUAGCACAAUCCAUCUAUGAACUUUAGCAUACAUAAUGUUAGAGUAUGUUUUAUAAUCAAACAAGCAACAUAAAAAAGAACUAAUGGUAUUAAUUGUUCUUAAAAUCCACCACUUAAAUUGUUUAUUUUUUGGAUUAAUUGACCUGUAUGAAUGAAAGUACACAACAAUUUUACCCUUCUAUCUAAAAGUGAUGCUUAAUGACAUUGAUCAACUAAUCUUGCAUCAAAUAAGAGGAUAGAUGAGUUUCAUGUAAAGAGAACAAACAAUCAUAUUAACAAUUGAUAGAAAUAUUUAAAGAAAACAAACAAUCAAAAUAAGUUCUCAAAUCAAACCUUCAGGAUGGUUUUUGCAAUUUAGAAGCUCACAUUCACAACAUUAUAUGAAUACAAAAACAUCAAUUUUUUUAAUCAAAUUAAAUCACCAAAAGGAGAAGAAAAGAAGAAACUUACUGUAUGAUUCCACUUUACUCGUAUAAAUAAAAAACAUAAAGAAAAACAUAUCUUACCAUUCAUAUUGUCUCUUGGAUUGAUGAUUUCCCCCUUUCAUGCAUGUAAACACAAACACACACAUAGUUAAAAAUACACACAUAGAGUAAGAGAGAGGAAGCGAGAGAGAGGGCCAAUAUUCUUUCUUGGGAAAAAAUUGUGCAUGGUGGUGAAUCUAACGACAAAGUGGUGGAUUAAGGUUUAAUUACAACUUUCUUGGUUCCCACACCCUAACAUAGCUCACAAUUCCAACCUAUUAAUUUUUCAUAAAGAAGUUAAAACCUCCACUUAUAUAUUAGAGUAAAUUACACGAAUGGUCCCUAUGGUUUGGGGUAAUUUGUAUGUUUGGUCCUUAACUUAUUUUUUUAACUCGGAAAGUCCCUACUGUUUGUUUUUGUUACGCACUUCGUCCAUGUCUUACCUAAAAAGACUAUUAUUUAAAUAGAGAAAAAUGGUGGGUAGGUAAGGUAAGGUAAGAGGAGUGGCAUUGGGGUGUGUUUAUUUAAAUAAAUUAAAAAUUGAGGGCAACAUAGUCUUUUUAGGUAAGAUAGGACCAAAUGUGUAACCAUAGGACCAAACAUGCAAAUCACCCUAAACCAUAGGGACCUUUCGUGUAGUUUACUCUAGACAUUAUGUUGGUUUAAAAAAAACAUGCUUCAUGCGGUGAUGCGAUGCGAUGCGAUGAUAUAUUAGCAACAUACAUGUGGGGCGAUGCGACCUACAUGUUGCCAGGCAAUGUGUGCGGAUCAAAGGGAAACCAAUGCAUUAUGCUUUGGUGCAGCAUGGUCUGGCCCAAGUAUUUUAAUGAUAUUUAUAUAAUCAAAAAAGCUCAUGCAAUUGUUAAUUAAGUAUGGUCGGCCCUACUUCUUACCUAGAUAUCUGCGUACAACUACUAGAAUACAAAGAGGCACACACGACAUACUGGUCGCAAAACAAUCUUUUUCUCCUCUCUUUUUAUCUAUUCGUCUUCCACUCUUCCUAUUCCCACAUCUUUUGUGAUAUUCAUUUAGUUAACCUUCUAUUCUCUAUUAUUACAUUCUGGGUUUUUGCAUUUUGGUUAACUGAUUACCAUUAGAAUUGGUUUAAUGACUGUUACAUUUGGUUUCAUUUUAUAUCUUUAUGGUUUUUAGUAUAUCGGUAAACAUAUAUUGGUAAUUACUACUUGUGCGCCACACUCCCGUGUUGCCACCGCAUUCACAUCGUGCAUCACACAUCGGCCUCCAGGACCCUAAUCGCAGUAGUGUGCAUUGCACAUUUUAAAACCAAGGACUUUAUAUCAAAUAUUUAGGGUGUGUAAUAUAAAAUUAGAAAAACACCAAAUUACCAUUCUUCCAUAAUUUCUCCCCCUUUUCUUGAACCUUCAUCUUCAAUCAACCGUUGUGUAAAGGAACUAAAGAUUUGGAGUAUAGAUCAAAGAUACAAAUUAAGGAAAAUAUUAGUACCUUUCGUAUGAUCAAAUAGAAAAAUGAUUGAGGAAAUAUCAUGUUCCCCCUGCAAAAAGUAUUCAUAGUUUCCAUGAUCAAACUUUUGAUUCAAUGUAUCUUUCAAAGAUUCAUAUAAAUAUCUACAUAAUCAUCGAUGAGAUAAAUGUUAAUUAAGCGGUUCAUCGUGAAAGAGUUGAGCCUCAAUCUAGUCAUUGAAGAUAAUUAAGUUAACACAUAAGUUUAACAACAAAGAACAGCAUCCAAAGAAAAAAUCCUAUGUACAAAAGAGAUAAUGCUAAAUCAAUGGUUUAGGUUACCAACAGAGAAGGAGAAAAACUCACUAGAAUAAUAUAACUAUGCCGAGAGUUGUUAUAAAUUCUCAAAAACAACAAUAUGAGAAUGAAUUACAAAAGAAAAUAAGGAGAUUUCGUAUAGAUUUCACAAAUCAAGUGACAAACAAAAUGAUUCUACUCUGAUCAAACUUAAUUGACCGCUUCCAUAAAAAUACGACCAUGUAUAGUGGAUUUCAUGUAGACUUGAAAAUUAGGGUUUAAGAAGAGACACUUCCCAUAGAAAAACUUGAGGAGGUUAAGGUUUAACCAAUAGAGAGGGUGAGGAAUAUGAAUUGAAAGUUGGAAUCAUACCUGAUGUCGUGAUGCAAAGAGAUGGUCUGUGACUUUAGUUUUGAUGGUCUGUCUCUGAUGAUGCUAUGAUGAAGUUGUGAAGUGCGAUCGAUUAACAUAGAAUAAAGGAUAAAACAUUAAAGGGGAACAUCAUAC